rnacentral:rRNA from 1 species
AGUUGUUGUGGUUAAAAAGCUCGUAGUUGAACCUUGGGCCUGGCUGGCCGGUCCGCCUCACCGCGUGCACUGGUCCGGCCGGGUCUUUCCCUCUGUGGAACCCCAUGCCCUUCACUGGGCGUGGCGGGGAAACAGGACGUUUACUUUGAAAAAAUUAGAGUGCUCCAGGCAGGCCUAUGCUCGAAUACCUUAGCAUGGAAUAAUGAAAUAGGACGCGCGGUUCUAUUUUGUUGGUUUCUAGGACCGCCGUAAUGAUUAAUAGGGACAGUCGGGGGCAUCAGUAUUCAAUAGUCAGAGGUGAAAUUCUUGGAUCUAUUGAAGACUAACUACUGCGAAAGCAUUUGUCAAGGAUGUUUUCAUUAAUCAGGAACGAAAGUUAGGGGAUCGAAGACGAUCAGAUACCGUCGUAGUCUUAACCAUAAACUAUGCCGACUAGGGAUCGGACGAUGUUAUUUUUUGACUCGUUCGGCACCUUACGAGAAAUCAAAGUGCUUGGGCUCCAGGGGGAGUAUGGUCGCAAGGCUGAAACUUAAAGAAAUUGACGGAAGGGCACCACCAGGGGUGGAGCCUGCGGCUUAAUUUG